CCGCUCCUGGCUGGCACUGCGAACGCAGCGCCAGCCUUUGUUUAGCUCCUGAACGGGCUGCGCGGCCCCCGCUCGGGAGCUAAACUACCACCCCCGCGUCUGACGUGAGAUACGGGGGAGGGUGUCGGGGCCGCUCUCACGGCUCCUGAUUGGCCACCAGCCCGGGUUCUUUGAACCCGUUGUCCCAAUGGUGCCUCCGUCCCUGAGGGUAGCCACUUGAAGGGUUUCCUCCACCUUUACCAGGGACUAUAAAUUGAAUUCCUUCACCUCUGCUCAAGCAGCUUUAGGGAGGCAGAUGCUCCAAGAGGUUCUUCCAUAGUGAGCGGGGGUGCUUCCUCUGGUUGGGCUGAGGGCUGUGGUAUGUCCCCACUCAAGAGAUGCCCUUAGAUUGCAGCAGCAGAGAAAGUAGCAUUGGUUCACUUACUGUGAAUGCUUAUUCUUGCUGCUGCAUCCAUGGGUGUCUUGACCCAAGCUUUAGCACCCGCAUCUACUUUGCAGGGACUCGGGGAGUUUUUCCUUUGUCUCUUACCAAAGCAUUGUUCAGAAGAACAGAAAUGUUGUUGCCUAUCAUUUAUUUUUACUGUGCACCAUUCAUUCCCUAGGUUCCCCCUGCAGUAUUGUUUUGGGGUUUGAAGAGUCUAUUUUCUCUGUACACAUUUAUUUUUUCUUCAAAAUACUCCUGGCCUUUUUAGCCUAAAAGAACUAGAUGGGGCCAUGCUCCUCUGGCUCUUAAAUAUUCUACUUAAUUUGCAUAGUCCUGCCUUUAGAGAGCCAUGUGGAGAAGCAUAACCUGGUCUUGUGGUAGCAAGCAUGACCUGUCCCCUUAGCUAAGCAGGCUCUGCCCUGGCUGCAUAUGAAUGGGAGACUAGAAGUGUGAGCACUGUAAACUAUUCCCCUCAGGGGAUGGAGCUGCUCUGGGAAGAGCAUCUAGGCUUCAGGUUCCCUCCCUGGCAGCAUCUCCAAGAUAGGGCUGAGAGAGAUUCCUGCCUGCAACCUUGGAGAAGCUGCUUCCAGUCUGUGAAGACAAUACUGAGCUAGAUAGACCAAUGGUCUGACUCAGUAUAUGGCAGCUUCCUAUGUUCCUAUGAGAUGCCCUUGGAUGCAGCAGCAAGAAGAAGCCUUCACAAACCACCUAAUGGCACAGCGCGGAAAUAACUUGACUAGCAAGCCAGAAGUUGCCGGUUCGAAUUCUCGCUGGUAUGUUUCCCAGACGAUGGGAAACACCUAUAUCGGGCAGCAGCAAUAUAGGAAGAUGCUGAAAACCAUCAUCUCACACUGCGCGGGAGGAGGCAAUGGAAAGCCCCUCCUGUAUUCUACCAAAGACAACCACAGGGCUCUGUGGUCGCCAGGAGUUGACACCGAUGCGAUGGCACACUUUACCUAUGUCGUUGCAGACCGUCCGGAGACGCAUCAUUUUCCCUCAUCACAGAAAAGUAGACUAGUGGAUUUCCUGAGCCCUGGUCAAGUGCACCUCUUCAAAACAUAAACGGAAUUCCAGUUAGAACAAUAUUAAUAGAAUGUACUUCAAGUGCUAUUCCAAAAAGGUGUUGAUGCAUUUCUAACUGAACGAGUUCUAAUAUGGAAGAGCUAGGAUCACCUCCCUGUGGGAAAGUCAGAAGAACUGGAUCCUUGGCAGUAGGCAUUUCCUGACAAAAGAAGAUGGCCCCACUGACACUUUCCAGAAGGCAAUUUAUGUGGAAGGUCCUCCAUCUUUCAAGUGAAUUGGGGAAGAACAUGAAGAGCAGCUUCAUGUGUGCACUGGAACUUCUGCACUGGAACCCCUUGGAACAAUUCCAAGGGAUCGUUGGAUCAGGAUGUUUGACCAAAAACCAGCAAUCCCUUCAAGUUAUGCUAACUUUGUGACUUUUUCAUGCAACCUUCUUGAUGAAAACUGUGGAACUCACCUGAAAAUCAACAUAGUUGAUCAACAUAGAACCUGCCUGAAAAUCAACAUUUAUUUAUUUAUUUAUUUACUUACAUCUCUAUACCACCCAAAACUUGCGUCUCAUUUGACAUUGAACUGACAGGACUGAAACCAAAAUUCACCCAAUGAGUUUAGUGGCAUGAUUUCAUAGUUUUGCCUUAUUUACAAACAUAAUAGGGAGUCCAUUUAUGGUUUUUUAUGUAAUGCGGAUGCAGUUGAGAAUAUAAAAUGCACGAGCAGCAUAAAAAUGUGGCUGCUGUAUUAUAAUCUGAUUUUGUAUACAACAUGAAUGUAUGGAGAUCUUCUUUUGUAGAGAAUUCUAAAUCAAAGAAAGUAGGGAGAUCAAAAGAACUAGGCUCAAAACAGAGUGGCAGGCAAGGCUGUGUAAAUAAAGUGACUGGCUAAUUGUAUUCCCUCAUGAACCCAGUCCAAAUGGACCAGACGAGUUGAGUGCAUAAAUAGAGCACAUGUGCCACAGUUUGAAAAUCUCUGGGAAUACCGAGCUGCCUUGUGCCACCCCUGAUGGAGCUGAAAUUGUAGUGAACAGAAUGCUGGAACCAUGUUGUAUUAUCAAAGGACAUGGAACCACUUAUUCCAACUAAACACUUAGUGCUGUCAUGCUGGUGUGACAGAAAAUGGCACUAAAGCACAGACGAGUGGCUAUUUUAGUCUGGAUAAAUACACUAGUUUGUCGUGCCCUGUCCUUAGGUCUAUACAAGUGUUGGAAUAUUUGUAAAUAUAAAAAAAUGAGACCUCCCUACUUUGCUUAUUUAUGCUUCCCUUCAGUAUGGGGCGGUUCCCCCCAAAUAAUCUGAUACUAUAUACUAGGUGUACUGUCAGAUGCAUAUGGCCCCAAUUAUCUAUUGUGAUGGUUCUGAAGAUAACUUUAUGUAAAAGGUAGUUUACAAGUUGUUUGCAAGCUUUGGUCAAUAAGACCAUGUCUUCAGAAUAUACAGUAUUUUAGAAUGCUGGAUAUGCAGAGAUGUAGAAUUUAAAUGUUUCCAUUCUUAAUUUUUCCCAUUACUUUAUUUGUCUGUGGAACAUUUUUCAUUUCUAAAAAUGAAUAAUUUCAUAAAAUGCAUUAGUGACAAUGAAUGGAUGUCAAUGCAAUUUUAGGCAAUUUCAAACUUGUAUUAAUGCUUUGCAGUGAUCAUCCCUAGUCCGUGAGAUACAUAUUUUAUUGAGUUGUAAACAAGAAGUAAUGGAGGUUUGUUUUUGUUUUUUAAACCCCUAAAUAUAUAGUAAAUUUAAAAUAA